rnacentral:lncRNA from 1 species
UGGUGUUGACGCUGUUUCACGUUUGUCGUUUGCCGCUGUUGUUUUGCGGCAAUUUCAUUUCCGUGCGUGAUGUUCUAGUGAUACGACAAUGCCUAAUAAGUGUUCUGUGCCGGGAUGUACCGGAAACUACAGGACGGGAAAGAAGAUACAAGUGUUUUCCUUCCCUAAAGACGGCGACGCUCUCAACAAGUGGCUACGCGCCAUUCCUAGGAAGGAUUUCGUGCCCACGUCGUGCACUAAGGUGUGCGCGGAUCAUUUCGACGCUUCAUGCAUCGAGCGGACGACAUCGUACACGGAUCCAAGGACAGGAAGAGUUAUCGAAGUCGCACUGCCAGUACCGCGGUUACGUCCUGGAUUUGUGCCAACGAUA